AUAAAACCCCGAGGAGCCUGGGUGGGAGGAGCAGGGCCAGUGUCUGAGUCACUGUGUGCUUGGGUCUGGAACUACAGGUCCCCGAGAGCACCGUCUACACCGAGAAGGGGACUCCAUCAUGAGGAGGCUCCUCCUGGUCACUGGCCUGCUGGCUCUGCUGCGGGGGGGAGGCAGGCCCAGCUUCCCUGCCCCAGGUCCUCAUCAAGACCAAAGGCCAAGUCGGGGGUCCUGAGCGGGACACAAAAGAGGCCUGGGACGCCCGUGUGGUGGACAUUCUGAAAAUGGACAACCAGCUCCUGGGGCUGCUAGCGGCACCAAACCUUGCCACGGCCACGUGGGAGAAACGGCAAGGCACCAAGACCCAGGCAGGGACUGAGGACACCCUGGGCCAUGUUCCAAGCCCCAGCUGGGAUCCUGAGCUGGACCGUGAUGGCCUGUACCACCCAGCGCCCGAGGAGGCCAGGGAGGCCCAGGAUGAGGCAGGGCUCUGGCCCUGGGCACUGUCACUUCCCCAGGCGCUUCAAGGGCCAGAGGAGGACCGAGACCAUAUCUACCACCCCAGGGAGGAUUCUGGGGAGCCCUGACCCCUCCCCAACUGGAAAAAUAAAUCUCGUAGGGGUGGAGACCACAUGUGUCUUCAGCAACAGUGACCAUGGUCCUAGCCUGCUCUGUCAGGGACAAGGAAAGGCCUGUGUCCUCCUCGUGCCA